GCGCACCAGAUACUAACCUGGCUGUCCUCGGCCCAGUGCCAGGCGUGCACUGUGGGCUGAAACCUUGUGGCUCCCAGGUCCACAGAGGUGCCAAACUAAAAUCAGUCCCGAGAUUUAAGCUCAGAGUGCCAAGACACACUCUGUGUUAUAACUCAGGGGCACAGUG
ensembl:scaRNA small Cajal body-specific RNA 1